rnacentral:tmRNA from 1 species
GGGGGCGAAAAGGCUUCGACGGGAGUAGUUGGGCUCUGGUCGCGCGCCGAGGUGCACUGCCUCGUAAAACAGGUGCAAAACCACGAUAACUGACAACUACAGUUACGCAAUGGCUGCCUAAGAGGUAGCCCGUCCCCCUGCACAAUGCUCGCGCAGUGCAGCAAGGGGCGUCGAACGCGCGGGCUAGUUGGUGGGGUGGCCCGUUCCCGCCAACGAGAUUCAGGGCUGGCCUGCCGAUAUGCUGAGUCUGUCCGGGAAUCGGCGGGCGAGACGUGAUGACAGACUACGCGCGUAGUGAUCGGGGUUUUGCUGCUUUCGGACGUGGGUUCGACUCCCACCGCCUCCA